GGUGCCGCUCGCUGUGUGUUGGGCGGACAGGCUCACCAGCUUUCACAUGCGAGGAGCGGAGAAGCCAUGAGCCUCGCAAUCGAUUGGUAAAGAGAAAGCCUGCCGUCGUUGGGCCCAACAGGAGGCGACACAGCGAGGCGUCACCGGGCGCUGUGAGAGGCGAUGCCAGCAACAGCCUUCAAAAGAUGGAUCUUGGCCCGUCCAGAUUUCGGUCGAAAACCUGCUUGAGCCUGUGACGUCAGUGCCAGAAACUCAACUGAGUUCCCCAUACAAGUUGACAUACUUGGUUGACUCAAAAGCAAGGGCGUAAUUCUCACCUAUAUUCAAUGUCUGGAUGGUUUUUUUAGCUCAUAACGAGUAAAAAUAGUGAGGUUAGAUACAUUUGUGUAGGCUUGUUUUGUUAGAAUUGACCCCUUGCAACGAGCAGCCACCGGAGGUAAGUGACUAAUUUUGGGCUAUUUGCAUGGGGUUUCUAAGCUGAUUCUUGGAUUGAUUACAUUGCUCACCUUUGAAAAACAGUUUUGGGAGAUAACUUAAAACAGGCAUUAGCUUAUAUGAAGUUUUUGUAUAAUCGGCGGCAUCAUGUCACUGCAGAGUUUGAUGGGCACCAAACACCUGCCAUCAUGGCAAAAUUUAAGUGCAUCCUUUUUGUUGUGUGAAGGCUUUUCGACAUGCUUUAAUAUUUGUGCCUGCCUAGGAUCAAGGCAGUAUGCAUCAAUGAGCAUGAGCGUGUAUGGACUACACACUGUAUAAAUGAAAGCUUUAAGCAGAUUAAGCCACCAUGUGUUAAUAGAAUGUAAGUGACUAAUGAUGAUGAAUUCAUUAGCUUCAACAAUGAUCAAAGAUGUGUCUGAAACUCGAAAAACGUAUUUGUUAAAUUACCAAAGUUUAGCUUCCUUACAUUAACCAAAUGUGCAAGAGAACAGUGAGAGAGCUAAAUGUAUGUUUUAGCUACUGCAAGUAACAACUUGGUCUUCUCACUAGUACAAUAACUGGUCUGCUGGAUUUAAACAUAUUGAAGAAUGUGAGUUUAUGUACCUUCUUAGGAGUUUCUUCCUGCCCAAUCUUGCCAUUCCAUUAUGGUUUUGUCUCAGUCUUAUUUUAUUUAUUUAUUUAUUUUGCCACCCACAAGAACACAUACUUUUUUUAAACUUAGAAUUAUUUUCUGGUUUGUUUACCUCUUCAGCUGCCUUUGUGCAAAACUCAGGCCAGAAUGAAUACUUUGGUGUCAUUUUGUUUGAUUUUGCAGCAUGACAAUCAGGAGCACUAAUGCCCCCUUUCCACUGUCCACAUUUACUGUUGGCAAUAGGAGAAAUUACCCUGUACGGUAUUCUAGUGCUGGGGCACCCAGGGUUCCUCGAAUUCUGAGCUGCUAUUCCACGGGUCAUAAACCACUGCUCGUUGCCCAUUGGUCAAGCAUAAAGUAUUCGUAACUGCCGCGUCGCUGUAAUGUUUGAGGAAAUGCAUUUAAGAAGGACUCUGUUGCUGUGGCUUUGCUCUGGACACUGCAGUAUUAUACUCCACUCUCUAUAUUGCUGAAGCAGCCCGUUUUCUUACAACCCUCAGUCUCCUCACAAACAAAAUGUGUCUACUUAUUAAGAAGUAAAUAGAGGACACCAUUGUUCUUCCUUUUCUUUCCUAAAAUGACUUUCUUUUAGUUUGUGUUGUGUUACAAUGAGAUUAUAGCGCUGCAUGUUUGACCAGCUCUUGGCACCCUGUGAAUGUAGAUUUUUUUAGUGUCCAAAAUUGUUUUUAAAAAUGCAAUUGAAGUCUGUCCUCCAAAAUUUCUCUCUCUCUGGAUCACUGUGUUUGAGGAUAAUACUUUUUUUUUUCCUUUCCUGCUGGCCUUGCAAAAGCUCAAAACACACUUGAUAGAGUGGUAACCUUGUGUUGUAGUCCCUUGGAAAAAUAUGGAUUACAUCUCAAACAGAAUGGGUUGUCACUAUGUUUGUUAUUUUAAUUAAAUUUUUUAAAUGAAGACUGACAUUAUUUUUCUUUCACACGGUUGUUUUUUCCGUUAAUUCCUUUUAAUGCCGUUAAAAGAGCAUGUUUUGGCUUCCUUCUCCCUUCCAUCUUUCCCUCUACUGGGAGGAGCCUCUUCUGCUUUCUAUAAUAUUAACCCGGUAGCCUGUGCUAAUUGUUAUAUCAUUAGCUCUAGAACAGAGUAGGAAACGGAUUGCUACUGGUUCUGAGCCCUGUGUUCGGGGGAUUGGAAACAGAACAAGCAUUGGCCAUCAGAGGUGGUUAGACUCAGAGAAGUCCUGUCACUACCAAGCUGACAAUGCAACCAGUUUACGCGCCAGACACUCUAGCAGUUACCAGCUCCCCGGUGGAGGGGGCCACAUUACUGCCUGGGGACAGGCAGAUAGGGGGGAGGAUGGAGGGUGGCCUAAUUAAGGCCCGGGAGUGGAUAAAUGACAAAUCUGUUUGUGUGUGUUUAGGUUAAAUUGUUUGGUUUAAGAGAUUCGAUGGUAAGGGUCUGUGAAAGGCCAUUGAGGACUGUGCACAAAAUAGGACUGAAGACAAGAUGAAUUUAGUAAAUGUACUGCACAAAUUGAUUUCUUUGUGUUAUAGGCCCUUUGAAGAUUGGGCUUUAAAAUGUCCAUUUAAAGGAUUGGAUCAAUGAAGGAAGGAACUGUUUUGGGGCAACGAAUGGCUGUGGUGAAUUAAUAAGGAUUUAAGGUUUGCUGGAAAUAAGCAUACAACUGGAGAUAGGAGUGCAUGGGAGUGCUCAUUGUUGAGUGUGAAGGGGUGUAAGGGCAAGUGGUCAUGUGUUAACCUGAUGCCACGAACUGGCUCCUGGCUCACGGGGACAGUGGGGCAGUGACACAAGCAGCAGCACGGGGCCCCUACAACACUACAAUGCUUCUCAGUAGUCAAUCUUAAUGUUACACCCUAAAGUCACAUUUUGGAGGUUAUCUUAUAAUUUGCCGAUUUGUCAUGAUAUUUACAGUGUAUGCUGAUUGGGUUGAGUAACCAUCGCCAGAUAACAUAGCUUAGAAAUUACACUACCUGACUUCUCAGACUGUGUAUAUACAACCCCAAUUCCAAUGAAGUUGGGACGUUGUGUUAAACAUAAAUAAAAACAGAAUACAAUGAUUUGCAAAUCAUGUUCAACCUAUAUUUAAUUGAAUACACUACAAAGACAAGAUAUGUAAUGUUCAAACUGAUAAACAUAAUUGUUUUUAGCAAAUAAUCAUUAACUUGGAAUUUUAUGGCUGCAACACGUUCCAAAAAAGCUGGGCCACAACGUCCCAACUUCAUUGGAAUUGGGGUUGUACUUGCAUCUCUGGUGAUUUGAUCACAGAUACAUUAAAUGUAGCUUUGAAUGCAACCAGUGUAGCAUGAAUGCAAAUGUGUUCCUGACCAAACACCAAUAGUGUCAUAUACAGUGGGUAUGGAAAGUAUUCAGACCCGCUUAAAUUUUUCCCUCUUUGUUAUAAUGCAGCCAUUUGCUGAAGCCAUUUAAGUAAUUUUUUUCCUCAUUAAUGUACACACAGCACCCCAUAUUGACAGAAAAAAGAACAGAAUUUUUCCAGAUUUAUUAAAAAAGAAAAACUCAAAUUAUUCAGAACCUUUGCUCAAUAUUUAGUAGAAGCACCCUUUUGAGCUAAUGCAACCAUGAGUCAUUUUCAUUCAAGAACAGUCACGGAGGUGUUCUGAAGCCACUCCUUCGGUAUUUUAGCUGUGUGCUUAUGGUCAUUGUCUUUUUUGAAGCUGAGCCUUUGGCCUAGUCUGAGGUUCUGAGCAGUCUGGAGAAGGUUUUCGUCCAGGAAAUCCCUGUACUUGGCUGCAUUCAUCUUUUCUUCGAUUGCAACCAGUCGUCCUGUCCCUGCAGCUGAAAAACACCCCCAAAGCAUGAUGCUGCCACCACCAUGCUUCACUGUUGGGACUGUAUUGGACAGGUGAUGAGCAAUCCUGGUUUUCUUUGCAAAUACUGCUUAGAAUUAAGGCCAAAAAGUGCUAUCUUGGUAUUAUCAGACCAGAGAAUCUUAUUUCUCACCAUCUUGGAGUCCUUCAGGUGUUUUUUAGCAAACUCCAUGCGGGCUUUCAUGUGUCUUGCACUGAGGAGAGGCUUCCGUCGGGCCAUUCUGCCAUAAGCCCCGACUGGUGGAGGGCUGCAGUGACUGACUGCAUCUCUGGAGCUCAGCCACAGUGAUCUGUGGGUUCUUCUUUACCUCUCGCAUCAAGGCUCUUCUCCCCCCGAUUGCUCAGUUUGGCUGGACAGCCAGCUCUAGGAAGGGUUCUGGUCGUCCAAAACAGAUUCCAUUUAAGGAUUAUGGAGGCCACUGUGCUCUUAGGAACCUUAAGUGCAGCAGAAUUGUUUUUGUAACCUUGGCAUUUGGUCUGACAUGCACUGUGAGCUGUAAGAUAUUUCAGUUUUUCUUAAAUAAAGCUGCAAAAAUUGAAGCAAUUCUAUUGUUUUUCUGUCAAUAUGGGGUGCUGUGUGUACAUUAAAUUUUCUCAUUCCUAUUGCUGCAAAAUAGAGGCAUCUCUCAGUAUAUUUUUCUCCCAAAUUUAGCAUUAUUUUCUAUGUAAGAAUGAGCAUAACUAAUAAACUAACUGAAGAUUCCAUUAGUCAAUUAACUGAUUGUUAAGAAUUGUGUUGUGUGGAAUUGAUUGUUGAGUAUCACUCUGGGAAAUUACUAGUCUAGUAAUUACUAGUGUCACGGACAAAAGUUGAUGGAUUCCUCCUUUCAAAAAUUAAAUGCAGGACUAGACCACAGUUAAAGUGGCAUUGCCAAGAAGAAGAACGUUCUUAAAUAUGAUCUGAAUGCAGCAGGUAAUUUCAAGUCUGAUGGCUUGUAACCAGAUUAUUAUCAAUGUGACUUUUGUGUGGAGAGAAUGACCAGAGAAGCAUUGGGUUAGGGAGCCCGUACUGCCCGGACUAACUGUUGGGAAACAUUCAUAAGGUCCAACUGACUUCACUUUCCACCCAGGAGCAUCUGACACUUUUUUCUUUGGCAAUUAAACCAAAUCGGAGGAGUACACACCUGCAUUAUCUCUGCACUUUACCAGCAGGGAUAUGUUUUUUUUUAUGUGUUGCACCCUCUUAUCUUCAUUCCCAGAUACAGAAAUUCUACUUGAUCUAUGGAUCUGUCUUCCUGUCAAUCCGCCGGCUGUGCUGUUCAUCCUCUCCACCUGAGAGUCAGCUACAUGUGGAAGGAGUGCUGCUCCACCCUGUCCACUUACACUGCACAUCUACACGGAUGGACUUGAUGGCAGCCACCCCCACCCCGUUGUCGGCUUUGCAGUAGUAGCGACCCCCCUGCACCCUCUGGAUGCCCUCGAUGCGCAGGGUCUCGUUGUAGAUGGAUGUCUCCUGGAAUUUAUCUGAGGCGCUGCCGGCUGUCUUCGUCCAUCGUAUCUGAGGAGAAAAUACUGAACUAAAGACUAUCCCUGCUGACUGGCAAGAACCAUUUAUAUACACAUUCAGAGUCUUCAAUGAACCUAACAUGCCUGUUUUUGGAAUGUGUGAGGAAGCCAACAUAUCCAGAUAAAACAAUUACAGUCUACACAUUCUGUAGAAAUAUCCCAUAUGAUUCUUGAAUCUGGAAAUUUUCAAGUCAAAUCAAUGUAUUUACUGUAUAUAGUGCCAAUUCACAACAGAAGUGUUCUCAAGUCACUUUACAAAUUGAACAGGUCAAGAUUCGCACUCCUCAGCAACAGAGGGUACGAUAUUUUCACGACCAUAAGGUGCAAUUAAAAGUCUCAAAUCUUCUCAAAAAUGGACGGGGCGCCUUAUAAUGCGGCGCGCCUUAUGUGUGCACCAAGUUCCAACAUCUAUAAAUGUUGUUGUGUGAUUAGCGCACUUUUU